GUGAUUGGUUUAAAGCUAUAGUGCGUAGUUUCUGUCUCCCCCAUAAGGAAUACUAAGUAAUGACAGCAACACUCUCGGCGCAUCAGCGCCUGAAUCAAAUUUUAA